UGCUUAUAGAUUUGUCUAACCCUAAAUGGAGUGCACAUUCAAAUGAAAUAGCUCCUGAUGCUGAUGUCCAACUUUCCAAGGGACAGAUAAAUUGUAAUUUAAGGUUCUGCCUUGCUGAAGUUGUGGUGACACACUGACAACAGAUUACAUUUUUCUGUGAUAAUGUGAUGAAACCUUUUGUAUAGGUUGUGCAUGAGAAAGUGAGAGAGAACUUUUUUGUUGGAACCUUACAGGUAUAUUUGGGUUACAAAUUUGCAGCAACUGUCAGCGACUUACAAAACCAAUAGCCAUUUCGAAGAUGGGACUUACAGCAGAAAGUUGGCGAAAGCUGGAGAUAUAAAUAUUGGCAGAUCUUAGACUCUUCAAGAUUUAAAAUAAAAAAUGAUUGCAACUUAAGACUACAUGUAUAGUUUCAAUGAAAUGUUUUGUCAGGUUUUGUAUUAUAUACAACAUUAUCAUGGUCUGGAAAAUAAUCAUGAUGAACACAAAUUUUUAAUAUUAAAUAAGGAAUCAUUAGGUUUUAUUGUUUACAGAAUUUUUGAGCAAUUAUAAACCGACUGUAUUGUGUCUUAGAUAUAAAACGAAAACUUAUGAUAUGAUUGUAUCAUUUUUGGUAUACAUAAGUACAACAUGACUUUCUUGUGUUUAAGAAGAUUGAAAUAAAUUCCAGUGCAACUGGCGCACCCAAACAUAAUGUAUUCUGAGCUUAAACUUAAGAAAGAAUGUUUUAAUGUUUUAAAGUCACUAAUAAAAAUUGAAGACAAAAAUUAAAGUAGAUGUACUACAGUAUCAGAUAUUAUCAUGUGACUAGUAUUUCAAACUGUCUUGAUUCACUAUUUGUUCAGUUUUAGAAAGUAAUUAAUAGCGGAAACACUAAAAAUACAAAAAAAAAAAAUUCCACAUGAAAAGUAGUACCAUAUCAGUUUAAAUGAGUUGCAGAAUAUGUAAAUUUGUUCAUUAUUCUAAAGGCAACACUUUAAUAUCCGGCUCCUGGGGAGGAAUAUAGUUUUGGCAUGGUCUGUCCAUCUCUUCAUCCGUCUGGGGCCAUAUAAGACAUGGUGUCAAGUAUAUAAUUAAAACCUGGUAGAAAUAUUCACUGCUAUAGGGAAAUGCAGAAUGCAAGUUUCAUAUUGAUAUAAUAUAAAGUAUAGUGUUUGUAUUUAAUUUUCAAUCUGUCCAGAGUCGUAUCUCAGACAUGGUUUGCAGGAUUUCAAUAAAUUUUAAAGCUGGUAUAAAUGAUAACUGCUUUAACGAAAAUUGGCCCUGCCAGAUUUCAAUUCAUUUGCAAGAUGUUAUUUCUGUCUUCCUCUCCUGAGCCAUAUCUCAGACAUAUUUAGGAGUAUUUCAGUAGAACAUAGUACUAAUGUUAACUGUUAUUGGGAUAUGGUUGCUAUGCAAGUUUCAGUGAAAUUGUUUGAGGACCAGAAGAGUAGUUUAUACAGAAUAUUUACAACAUAGGUUUUUUUCUGCAUAGGGCCUAAGGUCUUUUAUGCUGUGUGAUAUUGCGACCAAGCAUAGUAUGUAGUUUUCUUAGAGAUUUUGGUAUGCAUUCUCAGGCAGCAUGGGUCAAGGUCAAGGCUGCUGUUACUGAAAAUAGCAAAAAUGCUUCUGCUCAAUUAUUUCAGUCAAGAAUAAGGUGUUGCAGCCGAAACCUUGAAAUUUCGAAGCUUGCACUGAGGCCAUAGUUUUAGUUGUGUGUUGUGCUGCUUAGAUCAGUGUCAAGGUCAUUGUUACUAAAAGCAAAAAAAAAACAACAUUUUUCUCAUGAUGACUCAAAAUUACUUCAUUUAGUAAGUUAGAAAUGAACUAACCUGGUAAAUACCUGGUAGGUUGUUUUUAUACAAGCCAAUGUUCUGGUUGAAUUUUGGGUCAAGGCCAUUGUAACUAAAUAUAGGAAAGUUGUUAUUUUUGGUCCAUAAUUCAGUUAGGAAUAGAAAGUAUUAUUACAGUUUUGUCAUACUUUCUACAUUUUUACACUAAACUUGGUUCUUAGGUAUCUUGCAUAGAGACCAAGGUUCAUUUGCAGUUUGGUUUGCAUUUGUGAAGGUCAUUGUUACACAUGUACUAGAAAUAUAAGAUGAUUUUACACAAUAACUUCUUUUAGAAUUGAAGUACUUUACUAUAAAUAUAUAAACUGUUUCAGAUUAACUACUUUAGUAAGGAAUGAGGUCCACUGUGAAACUAUAUGUGCUUUUGCAAGCAGAGAAUGCUUUUUUAAAGGAGAAACUUUUGGCCCCUUCAGUAGUGGAUAACACAUCAUUGAAUUUGCUUGUUCCCUGUGGAAACAUUACUAAGCUUGUACUUAACAUGGUUUAUUUGCAAAAGUACCUAUGUGAAUACGUAUAAUUUAACAAUGACCACUUUUACAAAAAACAAUUUUAACACAUUUUGAGAGGACAUUGUUUUUACCUAAAAAUUGAGGGGAAAAUGCUUUAACCUCCAAGUGAGGUUUGACUGUGUGAAUGUUUUUAUUCUGACUAACAACAGACUUCUUUGCCAGCUUUCGUUUAUGUUGGUACUGUAGGAAUCUCCAUUGUUGUUGUUGGUUUUUUAUAUUGAAAGAAAUAUAUUUUUAAUUCAAAGGGACCAAAGACUGGUAGAUAUCCCUUGUCACAACUGAAUGAUAACUAGGCAGUCCUGGUCUGAUAGCUUUAUGUGACUGAAAUCAUAAAUGUACCCAUGUUUGCGUACAAUAUUACAGGUUAGUUUUGCAUGUUUCAGUAUGUAAAAAUGAAAAGUUUAUGAGGAAUUGUGUUUAUACUAUAAUAAUUAUUAAGUUUAUUUUGAAACACAGGUACAAAUAUUAUUUGUUUUCCAUCAAGUGACUUUUUAAAAAAAAAAUGUUUAUACAUGUACAUUGAUUUUACUUUAUUAAAGGAUAUAUUG
rnacentral:lncRNA from 1 species